GCUUACACAUGCAAGUCGAACGCUGAAACCAAAUGCUUGCAUUUGGUGGAUGAGUGGCGAACGGGUGAGUAACACGUGGGUGAUCUGCCCUACACUUUGGGAUAAGCCUGGGAAACUGGGUCUAAUACCGAAUAUUCACACCACCGUAGGGGUGGUGUGGAAAGCUUUAUGCGGUGUGGGAUGAGCCUGCGGCCUAUCAGCUUGUUGGUGGGGUAAUGGCCUACCAAGGCGUCGACGGGUAGCCGGCCUGAGAGGGUGUACGGCCACAUUGGGACUGAGACACGGCCCAGACUCCUACGGGAGGCAGCAGUGGGGAAUAUUGCACAAUGGGCGCAAGCCUGAUGCAGCGACGCCGCGUGGGGGAUGACGGCCUUCGGGUUGUAAACUCCUUUCGCUAGGGACGAAGCCUUAUGGUGACGGUACCUGGAGAAGAAGCACCGGCUAACUACGUGCCAGCAGCCGCGGUAAUACGUAGGGUGCGAGCGUUGUCCGGAAUUACUGGGCGUAAAGAGCUCGUAGGUGGUUUGUCGCGUCGUCUGUGAAAUCCCGGGGCUUAACUUCGGGCGUGCAGGCGAUACGGGCAUAACUUGAGUGCUGUAGGGGAGACUGGAAUUCCUGGUGUAGCGGUGAAAUGCGCAGAUAUCAGGAGGAACACCAAUGGCGAAGGCAGGUCUCUGGGCAGUAACUGACGCUGAGGAGCGAAAGCAUGGGUAGCGAACAGGAUUAGAUACCCUGGUAGUCCAUGCCGUAAACGGUGGGCGCUAGGUGUAGGGGUCUUCCACGACUUCUGUGCCGCAGCUAACGCAUUAAGCGCCCCGCCUGGGGAGUACGGCCGCAAGGCUAAAACUCAAAGGAAUUGACGGGGGCCCGCACAAGCGGCGGAGCAUGUGGAUUAAUUCGAUGCAACGCGAAGAACCUUACCUGGGCUUGACAUGGACCGGAUCGGCGUAGAGAUACGUUUUCCCUUGUGGUCGGUUCACAGGUGGU
rnacentral:rRNA from 1 species